AUUGAACGCUGGCGACAGGCCUAACACAUGCAAGUCGAACGGUAGCACAGAGGAGCUUGCUCCUUGGGUGACGAGUGGCGGACGGGUGAGUAAUGUCUGGGAAACUGCCCGAUGGAGGGGGAUAACUACUGGAAACGGUAGCUAAUACCGCAUAACGUCGCAAGACCAAAGAGGGGGACCUUCGGGCCUCUUGCCAUCGGCUGUGCCCAGAUGGGGUUAGCUAGUAGGUGGGGUAACGGCUCACCUAGGCGACGAUCCCUAGCUGGUCUGAGAGGAUGACCAGCCACAGUGGGACUGAGACACGGUCCAGACUCCUACGGGAGGCAGCAGUAGGGAAUAUUGCACAAUGGGCGCAAGCCUGAUGCAGCCAUGCCGCGUGUAUGAAGAAGUCCUUCGGGUUGUAAAGUACUUUCAGCGGGGAGGAAGGGGUUAAGGUUAGUAACCUUAGCCAUUGACGUUACCCGCAGAAGAAGCACCGGCUAACUCCGUGCCAGCCGCCGCAGUAA
rnacentral:rRNA from 1 species